UGGGGCGUAGCUCAGUGGUAGGGCAUUUGCCUAGUCUGCAUUAGGCCUUCGGUUCAAACCCCAGCACCACAA
rnacentral:tRNA from 1 species